rnacentral:rRNA from 1 species
GGCUCAGGAUGAACGCUAGCUACAGGCUUAACACAUGCAAGUCGAGGGGAAACGAUAGAGAAAGCUUGCUUUUUCUAGGCGUCGACCGGCGCACGGGUGCGUAACGCGUAUCCAACCUUCCCGUUACUCAGGUAUAGCCUUGCGAAAGUAAGAUUAAUCCCUGAUGAUAUAUGUUUACUGCAUGGUGAGCAUAUUAAAGAUUUAUCGGUAACGGAUGGGGAUGCGUUCCAUUAGGUAGUUGGUGAGGUAACGGCUCACCAAGCCCGCGAUGGAUAGGGGUUCUGAGAGGAAGGUCCCCCACACUGGAACUGAGACACGGUCCAGACUCCUACGGGAGGCAGCAGUGAGGAAUAUUGGUCAAUGGUCGGAAGACUGAACCAGCCAAGUAGCGUGAGGGAUGACUGCCCUAUGGGUUGUAAACCUCUUUUAUAUGGGAAUAAAAAGAUUACGUGUAGUCUAUUGUAUGUACCUUAUGAAUAAGCAUCGGCUAAUUCCGUG